UUUUAUUUAAUAUAAUUAGUAUAUUAAGCUUCCAACUUAAAAGUUUAAAAAAUCUUAAAAUAAAUA
rnacentral:tRNA from 1 species